UGGGCGCGGCCGUGCGCUCUAGUUCCAAGCACCCCUAAAUUCCUUUUAGAGCCGCGGUCGGGGAUACGUGUGCGCCGCCCGGUUACCUGCGCCGACCUGGGAUGAAGGGCAUGGACGCAAAACAGGGAAUUUGAGCUGAGACGGAAGGGGCGAGCGCGCAGCGACCAGCUGCAGAGAGAGGCGGAAGCAAAGCGGACGGACGGCCCGGGCCGUCGGGAAGGAGCCCGAAAAUAAUCCUAGCUGCAGUGUGGAGCAUGGUCUGGAAGGAGGAAAGAGGGACACUAUGGGAGAUGCCCCAGUUUUCAGCAAGGUGCAAGGCAACUGCCAUAGACUGUAUUUCCCAGCUUCCCUUACACAAAACUAAGCUUUGGCCAAUUAGAUGUAAGCAGAAGUAGUUGGUGAUACCUCUGGAAAGUGCACUAAUAAAGG